rnacentral:rRNA from 1 species
CCUACGGGAGGCAGCAGUGGGGAAGUAUUGCACAAUGGGCGCAAGCCUGAUGCAGCAACGCCGCGUGAGGGACGACGGCCUUCGGGUUGUAAACCUCUUUUAGUAGGGAAGAAGCGAAAGUGACGGUACCUGCAGAAAAAGCACCGGCUAACUACGUGCCAGCAGCCGCGGUAAUACGUAGGGUGCAAGCGUUAUCCGGAAUUAUUGGGCGUAAAGAGCUCGUAGGCGGUUUGUCGCGUCUGCUGUGAAAACUGGAGGCUCAACCUCCAGCCGGCAGUGGGUACGGGCAAACUAGAGUGCGGUAGGGGAGAUUGGAAUUCCUGGUGUAGCGGUGGAAUGCGCAGAUAUCAGGAGGAACACCGAUGGCGAAGGCAGAUCUCUGGGCCGUAACUGACGCUGAGGAGCGAAAGCAUGGGGAGCGAACAGGAUUAGAUACCCUGGUAGUCCAUGCCGUAAACGUUGGGCGCUAGAUGUGGGGACCAUUCCACGGUUUCCGUGUCGCAGCUACGACAUAGCGCCCGCCGUCGGGAGGUACGGCCGCGACGACGAAACGUACGAAAGGUAAGUAGUUACGGCGUGAGACGUGCCGACGGCGACGACGAGGGAGGAGG